AGGAUGAACGCUGGCGGCGUGCCUAAUACAUGCAAGUCGAGCGAACAGACGAGGAGCUUGCUCCUCUGACGUUAGCGGCGGACGGGUGAGUAACACGUGGAUAACCUACCUAUAAGACUGGGAUAACUUCGGGAAACCGGAGCUAAUACCGGAUAACAUGUUGAACCGCAUGGUUCAACAGUGAAAGACGGUCUUGCUGUCACUUAUAGAUGGAUCCGCGCCGCAUUAGCUAGUUGGUAAGGUAACGGCUUACCAAGGCAACGAUGCGUAGCCGACCUGAGAGGGUGAUCGGCCACACUGGAACUGAGACACGGUCCAGACUCCUACGGGAGGCAGCAGUAGGGAAUCUUCCGCAAUGGGCGAAAGCCUGACGGAGCAACGCCGCGUGAGUGAAGAAGGUCUUCGGAUCGUAAAACUCUGUUAUUAGGGAAGAACAAAUGUGUAAGUAACUAUGCACGUCUUGACGGUACCUAAUCAGAAAGCCACGGCUAACUACGUGCCAGCAGCCGCGGUAAUACGUAGGUGGCAAGCGUUAUCCGGAAUUAUUGGGCGUAAAGCGCGCGUAGGCGGUUUUUUAAGUCUGAUGUGAAAGCCCACGGCUCAACCGUGGAGGGUCAUUGGAAACUGGAAAACUUGAGUGCAGAAGAGGAAAGUGGAAUUCCAUGUGUAGCGGUGAAAUGCGCAGAGAUAUGGAGGAACACCAGUGGCGAAGGCGACUUUCUGGUCUGUAACUGACGCUGAUGUGCGAAAGCGUGGGGAUCAAACAGGAUUAGAUACCCUGGUAGUCCACGCCGUAAACGAUGAGUGCUAAGUGUUAGGGGGUUUCCGCCCCUUAGUGCUGCAGCUAACG
rnacentral:rRNA from 1 species